rnacentral:rRNA from 1 species
GCCAUGCGGAGCUACCAUGCAGUCGAGCGGAGAGAGGUAGCUUGCUACUGAUCUUAGCGGCGGACGGGUGAGUAAUGCUUAGGAAUCUGCCUAUUAGUGGGGGACAACAUUUCGAAAGGAAUGCUAAUACCGCAUACGUCCUACGGGAGAAAGCAGGGGAUCUUCGGACCUUGCGCUAAUAGAUGAGCCUAAGUCGGAUUAGCUAGUUGGUGGGGUAAAGGCCUACCAAGGCGACGAUCUGUAGCGGGUCUGAGAGGAUGAUCCGCCACACUGGGACUGAGACACGGCCCAGACUCCUACGGGAGGCAGCAGUGGGGAAUAUUGGACAAUGGGCGCAAGCCUGAUCCAGCCAUGCCGCGUGUGUGAAGAAGGCCUUAUGGUUGUAAAGCACUUUAAGCGAGGAGGAGGCUACUUUAGAUAAUACCUAGAGAUAGUGGACGUUACUCGCAGAAUAAGCACCGGCUAACUCUGUGCCAGCAGCCGCGGUAAUACAGAGGGUGCAAGCGUUAAUCGGAUUUACUGGGCGUAAAGCGCGCGUAGGCGGCUAAUUAAGUCAAAUGUGAAAUCCCCGAGCUUAACUUGGGAAUUGCAUUCGAUACUGGUUAGCUAGAGUGUGGGAGAGGAUGGUAGAAUUCCAGGUGUAGCGGUGAAAUGCGUAGAGAUCUGGAGGAAUACCGAUGGCGAAGGCAGCCAUCUGGCCUAACACUGACGCUGAGGUGCGAAAGCAUGGGGAGCAAACAGGAUUAGAUACCCUGGUAGUCCAUGCCGUAAACGAUGUCUACUAGCCGUUGGGGGCCUUUGAGGCUUUAGUGGCGCAGCUAACGCGAUAAGUAGACCGCCUGGGGAGUACGGUCGCAAGACUAAAACUCAAAUGAAUUGACGGGGGCCCGCACAAGCGGUGGAGCAUGUGGUUUAAUUCGAUGCAACGCGAAGAACCUUACCUGGGCCUUGACAUAGUAAGAACUUUCCAGAGAUGGAUUGGUGCCUUCGGGAACUUACAUACAGUGCUGCAUGGCUGUCGUCAGCUCGUGUCGUGAGAUGUUGGGUUAAGUCCCGCAACGAGCGCAACCCUUUUCCUUAUUUGCCAGCGAGUAAUGUC